GGACUACUAGGGUAUCUAAUCCCGUUCGCUCCCCUGGCUUUCGUGUCUCAGCGUCAGCACAACCCCAGCGACCUGUUUUCACCAUUGGCGUUCCAAACGAUAUCUACGCAUUUCACCGCUCCACCGUUUGUUCCGGUCGCCCCUAGUUGGCUCAAGACACCCAGUAUACCAAGCAGUUCCACGGUUAAGCCGUGGGAUUUCACAAGGUACUUAGGAAUCCGCCUACACACGCUUUAAGCCCAGUGAUUCCGCCUAACGCUCGGCACCUCUGUCUUACCGCGGCUGCUGGCAC
rnacentral:rRNA from 1 species